rnacentral:rRNA from 1 species
AUUGAACGCUGGCGGCAGGCCUAACACAUGCAAGUCGAAUGGUAACAGGAAACAGCUUGCUGUUUCGCUGACGAGUGGCGGACGGGUGAGUAAUGUCUGGGAAACUGCCUGAUGGAGGGGGAUAACCACUGGAAACGGUAGCUAAUACCGCAUAACGUCGCAAGACCAAAGAGGGGGACCUUCGGGCCUCUUGCCAUCAGAUGUGCCCAGAUGGGAUUAGCUAGUAGGUGGGGUAACGGCUCACCUAGGCGACGAUCCCUAGCUGGUCUGAGAGGAUGACCAGCCACACUGGAACUGAGACACGGUCCAGACUCCUACGGGAGGCAGCAGUGGGGAAUAUUGCACAAUGGGCGCAAGCCUGAUGCAGCCAUGCCGCGUGUAUGAAGAAGGCCUUCGGGUUGUAAAGUACUUUCAGCGGGGAGGAAGGGAGUAAAGUUAAUACCUUUGCUCAUUGACGUUACCCGCAGAAGAAGCACCGGCUAACUCCGUG